AAAACAUUUCAAAAUGGCGGCAAAGAUAGCGGACAUUGUGGCACAUCGAAGUUUCGGAAACUCUGUCGCUCUCUUAUAUUCUGAGGCUUGUUUGUGUUAGAGGUCUGGAAUCACUUGGGAAGAAUAUGUAGAUUUCUACCAUGCUACAUUGCCUUCAGUUAUGUUCCAGAUCUACAUACAUGUAGGAUACUCAUAUUUAUCAGUUGGAUUGUUAUACUAAAGUUCCUCAAAAUGGUGUCGAAUCACUUCCCUUGGUUUUGAUGUUGUACAUUCUGGCUUUUUCUGACCAGUUUGGAGGACCAUCAGGCCAUGACUCUACAUCUGCAAGUAGCUGGUCCAACUUUCCUUCUAUGUUAGCAGGUGAAGCUGUGUGGGAUCGUUCCCUGACCUUUGGUGGGGUCGUUUUUGCUCUCUCCUCGGCCUCUUCAAAGGUUUCAAAGGACAGGGCCAUUCUUUGGAUUUGUCUUGAACUGUAAGACUGACGAAGGCUAAGCAGGUGAAGGCUUCUUUUGAAGACCCUCUUCAGGGACAAGCACUAGAAUGUCACUUAGUGAUUUUUGAAAGUUUUCCUGGCAUUUUUCAUUGUAAGUGGCAUAUAUUGCUUCCCCAAUGCUUUUUAAUUUCCUUUUUGUGACCUUAGGUUCUCUCUGACAUUGUCUCUUGACAUUUGUGUUAAGUUCAGUCAGAGGUCCUUUCCUAGCCCCUCUGCAAAACUUACUUAUAGGGAAGGUAGAUUGUAAUUGAGAGUUGAAUAAAAGACAGGCCUGGCA